CUGGGGUGCCAAAUUGACGUGCGGAAAUCAGACCCUAUAGCCAGGAAGGAUAUAGAGCAGGUAUGUGUCUAUUGGUGACGCGCGUACACCCUGGUGCAAGGGGGAUCGUUCCACCUAACUUGCACACUGUCCGAAGAAGUCGUGCUAUAGAUAUAGGUCGAACUAAUACAUAAUCAAUAGUUGACAGGAAUUUGGAUACAUGUUCAUUACAUUCCCAAGAGCCCAUUAGCAUGCAGUCCCUCCCCCCCUUGGGCGUGUGUAGUAGGUCGGGAUGAUGAAGGCUCGUAGUCUUCCUUGCUGCAAACUUCUGAC
ensembl:lncRNA